CCCUUAGAUGUCCUGGGCUGCACGCGCGCUACACUGAUGUGUCCAGUAAGCACCUAACCUCUUCCGAAAGGAACGGGUAACCUUUGCAAAGCACAUCGUGAUGGGGAUAGAUUAUUGCAAUUAUUAGUCUUGAACGAGGAAUUCCUAGUAAGCACAAGUCAUCAGCUUGUGUUGAUUACGUCCCUGCCCUUUGUACACACCGCCCGUCGCUCCUACCGAUUGAAUGUUCCGGUGAGCUCUUCGGACUGCGCGGUCUGCAGUUUCUGCGUUCCGGGCGGAAAGUUGCGCAAACCUUAACAUUUAGAGGAAGGAGAAGUCGUAACA
rnacentral:rRNA from 1 species